rnacentral:rRNA from 1 species
CCUACGGGUGGCUGCAGUGAGGAAUAUUGGUCAAUGGACGAGAGUCUGAACCAGCCACGUAGCGUGAAGGAUGACUGCCCUAUGGGUUGUAAACUUCUUUUAUAUGGGAAUAAAAUGUUCCACGUGUGGGAUUUUGUCUGUACCAUAUGAAUAAGGAUCGGCUAACUCCGUGCCAGCAGCCGCGGUAAUACGGAGGAUCCGAGCGUUAUCCGGAUUUAUUGGGUUUAAAGGGAGCGUAGGUGGAUGGGUAAGUCAGUUGUGAAAGUUUGCGGCUCAACCGUAGAAUUGCAGUGGAAACUGGCAGUCUUGAGUGCAGUAGAGGUGAGCGGAAUUCGUGGUGUAGCGGUGAAAUGCUUAGAUAUCACGAAGAACUCCGAUGGCGAAGGCAGUUCACUGGACUGCAACUGACACUGAGGCUCGAAAGUGUGGGUAUCAAACAGGAUUAGAUACCCUUGUAGUC